rnacentral:rRNA from 1 species
UGAACGCUAGCGGCAGGCUUAACACAUGCAAGUCGAGGGGCAGCAUGUCCAGCAAUGGAUGAUGGCGACCGGCGAAAGGGUGCGUAACGCGUGAGCAACAUGCCCUAUACAGGGAGAUACACCAGGGAAACUUGGUCUAAUAUCCCAUAGCAUUCAUUGAAGGCAUCUUUAAUGAAUUAAAGCCUCGGUGGUAUAGGAUUGGCUCGCGUGACAUUAGCCAGAUGGUGAGGUAACGGCUCACCAUAGCAAUGAUGUCUAGGGGUUUUGAGAGGAAGGCCCCCCACACUGGGACUGAGACACGGCCCAGACUCCUACGGGAGGCAGCAGUGAGGAAUAUUGGACAAUGGAUGGAAAUCUGAUCCAGCCAUGCCGCGUGCAGGAAGACGGCCUUAUGGGUUGUAAACUGCUUUUAUACGGGAGCAAUAAGGGUUACGAGUAAUCCGAUGAGAGUACUGUAUGAAUAAGGAUCGGCUAACUCCGUGCCAGCAGCCGCGGUAAUACGGAGGAUCCGAGCGUUAUCCGGAAUUAUUGGGUUUAAAGGGUGCGUAGGCGGCCAUUUAAGUCAGCGGUGAAAUUUUGCAGCUUAACUGUAACAGUGCCGUUGAUACUGUUUGGCUAGGAUUUGGUUGUAGUGUGCGGAAUGUGUGGUGUAGCGGUGAAAUGCUUAGAUAUCACACAGAACACCGAUUGCGAAGGCAGCACACUAAGUCAUUAUUGACGCUGAGGCACGAAAGUGUGGGGAUCAAACAGGAUUAGAUACCCUGGUAGUCCACACUGUAAACGAUGAUAACUCGCUGUCGGCGAUACACAGUCGGGGCCAAGCGAAAGC